AAUAUCAUCGUAGUUUAAGUUAUAGAUUAAUAUUAUUUAUUAAUUAUAUAUUCGUAUUUAAAUAUGAUUUCUUAACAGUAAAACAAAAUAGAAAUCGAAAUUCAAAAGUCAAACAGAAUACAAUUAUAGAACACAGUUUAAUCUGUCCUUUUCGUUUCUUUUGCAAUAUCAAUGACAGAUCAUCGAACCAACACAGUUUAAACUAUCAAUAAGUUUAAACCAUGUUUAAACCUUCCCAGAGUGGCGUUUAAACCUUCCUUCAUGGAUUAGAUGUAAAUAUGUCAUUGUCAAUAACGUUAAAAGAUUUUGUAUUUGGGUGUUUUUGAUAUUAACCAGUAACAUGGAAUAUUACAAUAGUGAUUCAGAUUUAGAUAUCGAUGAUUUAAAUGGUUUUUAUAUAUAUUAUAGUACGUUAUUCGUACAAGAAACAAUCAAUGGUAUGAGUGGGACGUUAUAAAAUUCGUACGGCGUUUUCGUGUUUCCAAAACAUCAGCACAACCUAUUUUAUGUGAAAUUGGAAACCAAAUUCGUCAUCCUGAUUCACGGAACAAUGCAUUAUCCCCAAUGAACCAACUUCUGCUUACACUAAGAUUCUAUGCAACUGGAAGUAUGCAAAUAACUGCUGGAGAUUUCAGUGGAGUUCAUCAAACUACAGCAGCAAAAACAAUUAAAAGAGUAACAAAAGCUAUUGCAGCCGACAGAUUUAACCAUCUUCAUCUUUCGCCAAUUGAACAACAACAAAAUCAAACUGACUUUUAUUCUAUUGCUAGAUUUCCUUGUGUAUAUAGUGCUCUAGACUGUACACAUAUUCGUUUACAAUCCCCAGGAGGGCAAAAUUCAGAGCAUAAUAGAAAUAGGAAUGGAUACUUUUCAUUAAAUGUCCUACCUAAAAUUUUUGGAUGUUGCAUGCUAGGUGGCCUGGUGCUAGUCAUGACAGUACUCUUUUUAAUAACAGUCGUUUGUGUGCUGUUUUCGAAUCAGGACAAAUGGGACAAAAUAUUCUUCUUGGUGAUGCUGGAUUUGAACUGAAAAACUAUUUAUUAACACCACUCCAGAAUCCAGUGACAUCAGCAGAAAAACUUUACAAUGAGUCUCAUAUUUGCACUAGAAAUUGUUUAGAAAGUUGCUUUGGAAUAUGGAAAAGACGCUUUCCUGUGUUAUCAAUUGGUAUGAGAGUAAAUCUAGAGUUAGUACAAGACAUUAUUGUUGCCUGUACAUUUUUCAUAAUAUAUACAUAAAUAACGGAGAUGUAAUUCCAAGUUUGAACAUAGAAAUAGCAAAUUCAAUAGAUUUGUCUAGCCACCCAAAAAAUGUUGAUAACGGAAAUUCCCUAUUUCCAUUUUAAAUGAUUGUUGUUAUCCCCUAACAACAAUCAUUUAAAAACACAAUUGUUAAUAAAUAGUUAUUUUAGUAUGUUACAUCAAAUAAAUAGAUCUUGCAUUAUAAAAACUAAAAUAGUUUAAUUAUUGUAAUAGUUUUACAAAUAAAACAACUUUUACAUAG